rnacentral:rRNA from 1 species
ACGGGGGGUGCAAGCGUUGUUCGGAAUUAUUGGGCGUAAAGAGCGUGUAGGCGGCUGAAUAAGUCAGAUGUGAAAUCCCUGGGCUUAACCCAGGAAGUGCAUUUGAAACUAUUCAGCUUGAGUAGGGGAGAGGAAAGUGGAAUUCCUGGUGUAGAGGUGAAAUGCGUAGAUAUGAGGAGGAACACCGAUGGCGAAGGCGGCAUUCUGGGCCAAUACUGACGCUGAUGCGCGAGAGCGUGGGGAGCAAACAG